UACGUAGGGUCCGAGCGUUGUCCGGAAUUAUUGGGCAUAAAGGGCUCGUAGGCGGUUCGUCACGUCGGGAGUGAAAACUCGGAGCUUAACUCCGAGCCUGCUUCCGAUACGGGCAGACUAGAGGUAGGCAGGGGAGAGCGGAACUCCUGGUGUAGCGGUGGAAUACGCAGAUAUCGGGAAGAACACCGGUGGCGAAGGCGGCUCUCUGGGCCUUACCUGACGCUGAGGAGCGAAAGCGUGGGUAGCGAACAGG
rnacentral:rRNA from 1 species